rnacentral:rRNA from 1 species
UUUCUAGUGGCGGACGGGUGAGUAACGCGUGGGUAACCUGCCUCAUACAGGGGGAUAACAGUUAGAAAUGACUGCUAAUACCGCAUAAGACCACAGCACCGCAUGGUGCAGGGGUAAAAACUCCGGUGGUAUGAGAUGGACCCGCGUCUGAUUAGUUAGUUGGUGGGGUAACGGCCUACCAAGGCGACGAUCAGUAGCCGACCUGAGAGGGUGACCGGCCACAUUGGGACUGAGACACGGCCCAAACUCCUACGGGAGGCAGCAUG